rnacentral:rRNA from 1 species
AGGGCGUAUGGUGGAUGCCUAGGCUCUCAGAGGCGAUGAAGGACGUGAUAAGCUGCGAAAAGCUCCGUUUAGGUGCAAAUAACCUUUGAUGCGGAGAUCUCCGAAUGGGAUAACCCAAUAUGUUGAAGACAUAUUAUACCGUAAGGUAGGCAAACGCAGGGAACUGAAACAUCUAAGUACCUGCAGGAGAAGAAAACAAACGUGAUUCCCCCAGUAGCGGCGAGCGACCGGGGAUAAGCCCAAACCGUUAUUGUUUCGGCAGUAGCGGGGUAGUAGGACUGCGACAUUGAUGAAAUAAAUGAAAUGGAACACCUUGGAAAAUGUGAUCACAGAGGGUGAUAAUCCCGUACAUGUAAGUUUAUGAAUCAUAGCAGACUCCUGAGUAAGUCGGGACACGUGUAAUCCUGACCGAAUCCGCCGGGACCAUCCGGCAAGGCUAAAUACUCCUGAGAGACCGAUAGUGAACCAGUACCGUGAGGGAAAGGUGAAAAGCACUUCGAACAGAAGAGUGAAAUAGUCCCUGAACCCAUACGCCUACAAGCAGUCGGAGCCGCUUCGUGCGGUGACGGCGUGCCUUUUGCAUAAUGAGCCUACGAGUUACUCAUCACCAGCGAGGUUAAGUACUUCAGGUACGUAAGCCGAAGCGAAAGCGAGUCUGAAUAGGGCGUCAAGUUGGUGGUGGUAGACGCGAAACCUUAGUGAUCUACCCAUGGGCAGGGUGAAGGUUUGGUAACACAAACUGGAGGCCCGAACCGGUAAACGUUGAAAAGUUUUCGGAUGACCUGUGGGUAGGGGUGAAAGGCCAAUCAAACUGGGAAAUAGCUCGUACUCUCCGAAAUGCAUUUAGGUGCAGCCUCUGUUGUUUUGUUCUAGAGGUAGAGCUACUGAUUGGAUGCGAGGGCUUCACCGCCUAUCAAAUCCGGCCAAACUCCGAAUGCUAGAACAUGAAGACAGGGAGUGAGCCAGCGGGUGCUAAGGUCCGUUGACGAAAGAGGGAGAACUCAGACCAUCAGCUAAGGUCCCCAAUUAUAUGCUAAGUUGGAAUAAAAACGGGGUGGGACUGCUUAGACAGCUAGGAUGUUGGCUUGGAAGCAGCCAUUCAUUUAAAGAGUGCGUAACAGCUCACUAGUCGAGCGGUCCUGCAUGGAUAAUACGCGGGCAUAAGCAUAUAACCGAAGCUAUGGGAUUGUAGAUGAUACAAUCGGUAGGAGAGCAUUCCAUUCAGCAUAGAAGCAGUAUCGUGAGGUAUUGUGGAGCGGAUGGAAAAGCAAAUGUAGGCAUAAGUAACGAUAAUGCGGGUGAGAACCCCGCACGCCGAAAGAUCAAGGAUUCCCCGGCAAUGUCAAUCAUCCGGGGGUAAGUCGGAUCCUAAGGGUAAGCCGAGUGGCGAUCCCGAUGGUAAACAGGUUAAUAUUCCUGUACUGAUCAUAACUGCGAUGCAGCGACGCAGAGGUGACACUGCUGCGUACUGACGGAAUAGUACGUUGAAACCCGUAUUCUUUGAUACCGGUAGUGAAGCACGCCGGUAGAGAUGAAAGGUGAUAGUACCGCAAUGCUUCGGUUGCGCGGAUAAUGCAGGUAAGCUGACUGCCAAGAAAACCUGCUAAGCUUCAGGUAAUGAUCAUCCGUACUGUAAACGGACACACGUGAUCAGGUAGAAAAUACUAAGGCGCUCGAGAGAUUCAUGGUUAAGGAACUAGGCAAAAUGGUCCUGUAACUUCGGGAUAAAGGACGCUCUUGUGAAAGAGCCGCAGAUAAUAGGCCCAGGCGACUGUUUACCAAAAACACAUGGCUAUGCUAAUUCGCAAGAAGAUGUAUAUGGCCUGACACCUGCCCGGUGCCGGAAGGUUAAGAGGAGAGCUCAGAGGUAACUCGAAGGUUUGAAUUGAAGCCCCGGUAAACGGCGGCCGUAACUAUAACGGUCCUAAGGUAGCGAAAUUCCUUGUCGGGUAAGUUCCGACCUGCACGAAUGGUGUAAUGAUCUGGACACUGUCUCAACCGUGAGCUCAGUGAAAUUGUAGUAUCGGUGAAGAUGCCGAUUACCCGCGAUGGGACGAAAAGACCCCGUGAACCUUUACUAUAGCUUA